rnacentral:rRNA from 1 species
UACGAAGGGGGCUAGCGUUGCUCGGAAUCACUGGGCGUACAGGGCGCGUAGGCGGGUCUUUAAGUCAGGGGUGAAAUCCUGGAGCUCAACUCCAGAACUGCCUUUGAUACUGAAGAUCUUGAGUGCGGGAGAGGUGAGUGGAACUGCGAGUGUAGAGGUGAAAUUCGUAGAUAUUCGCAAGAACACCAGUGGCGAAGGCGGACUCACUGGCCCGAUACUGACGCUGAGGCACGAAAGCGUGGGGAGCAAACGGG